CUGAAUCCCAUUUUCUUUGAGAAGUUGCCAUACUGAUUUCCAAAGUGGCUCUACAAGUUGGCACUCCCACCAGCAGUAAACAAGGAGGAUCCAAAAAGAGACAAACUUUGUCCCCUGGAGAAGAGGAUAGGGUCACCAUGCCCUGAGCAAUUUGAGAACAUGGGAAGAGGGGGGAGGGAGCUACGAGAAUGAGAAGAAUGUUGAUUCUUACAUUCCGCCGCCGCAGACUGGCCUGGAACUAGGUGAGUGAGCUCCUGCCCGCUCCCGACUCCAGGCCAGAACACCCCACCACCCCCAUCCCACCACCCCCUCCUGAGCCUGCCGGCUUGGGCCAGACACGCCCAGAGAGGGAGGAGCCCUCUGCCCCACCAAUCUGCUAGCACUCCAUUCUUACAUUCCGC
rnacentral:lncRNA from 1 species